rnacentral:rRNA from 1 species
UUCGCAAUGCCCGAAAGGGUGACGAAGCGACGCCGCGUGGGUGAGGAAGGCCUUCGGGUUGUAAAGCCCUGUCAGGAGUUAAGAAAUGUAGACUCGCUAAUAUCGGGUCUAUUUGACAAAGGCUCCAAAGGAAGCCACGGCUAACUCUGUGCCAGCAGCCGCGGUAAUACAGAGGUGGCGAGCGUUGUUCGGAAUUAUUGGGCGUAAAGAGCACGUAGGUGGAUUUGUAAGUCAGACGUGAAAGCCUUCUGUUCAACGGAGGAAUUGCAUCUGAAACUACAAACCUUGAGUGUAGGAGGGGAGAAUGGAACUUCUGGUGGAGCGGUGAAAUGCGUAGAUAUCAGAAGGAACGUCGGCGGCGAAAGCGACUCUCUGGCCUAAUACUGACACUGAGUGUGCGAAAGCUAGGGGAGCAAACGGGAUUAGAUACCCCGGUAGUCCUAGCCGUAAACGAUGGGCACUAAGUAGAGGGGUUUU